rnacentral:lncRNA from 1 species
ACAGAUCUUGCAAACUUAACCAUUGAAGACAAUGAAGCACAGUGUUCUCAGGCAGGUGCAGUGCAGCCUUCGUCUUCAGUGGAAACCACCUUUUGUGGAGCUGCAUCAGAGCCUUGGGCGGACCAACCCACAGUGGCAUCUUCAGAGGCUGUUAGUGGAGAUGAAACAGCAAAGAGAAACAGGAGCCAGUGUAUAUAAGUAUGAAGACAAGCUGUUUUUCUACAGAAAGCACAAGUCAAGCCAAAAAUACAUACUGACUUCCUACAAAUUGUGUUAAGGGUUCUUUUUUAAUGUAUAAAAUUAUUUAUUGUCAAUAAAUUUUUAUUUAAGUG